AUCCAGCUGACGAGUCCUGAAUAGGACGAAAUGCGCGUCCUGGAU
rfam:Schistosoma rodhaini strain Burundi genome assembly, scaffold: SROB_scaffold0003276